UGUUCAAGCAGUUUAAAUAAAGGUUUAAAGUUCAUUUUUGCCGGUGCUGGGGUUUCUGAGUUUUUGUAGUUUUUAGAUUUCUUUGUAUUCUUUGUUUGCCUUAACUUUCCUCUCCCACCAGAAAUGACCUUGGGCUGCUGAUGUUUGUUCUUCUUCUUCUUUUUUUUAUUUUUAUCUGUUUCUUUUACAGAUGGCUGCUGCUGUGAAGAGACAGGAUCCACCACGGGCGGCAAUGACUGCUCCACAUUAUCACAUGCAGUAAGAGACCCCUUAUAUUUCACCAGGGUGGCCACAAACUACCUGUAACUGACUGCUUGGAGACUGGAUGUACUGGUACUAACAGACCAUGGAGGUAACCAUGUUUUUCCCCAUACAACGUCCCAAGGAGAGGGAUGGGACAUCAUCCUGCCCCAGCACUCCCAGAGGCAUGUGCAGUUUGCAGUCCACACAGCUGCAGCUGUGCUUCCCAGCUGCUCCAGGUGGCUAGCACCUGUGUUUAAAAAGCUUUAAAGCCCCUGGACCACCUCAUAAGUACAAACUGUGGAAACAGGCUAUAGGACUAAUCUCUUUGUGUACAAAACUGAAGUUGACACAAGCCAAACUUGUCUUUCCCUAGACAAGAGAGUAGUAAAGUUGAUUUUUUUUAACAAU